rnacentral:rRNA from 1 species
UACGAGGGGGGCAAGCGUUGUUCGGAAUUAUUGGGCGUAAAGGGUGCGUAGGCGGUUUUGUAAGUCUUGUGUGAAAUCUUCAGGCUCAACUUGAAGACUGCACGAGAAACUGCAGGGCUUGAGUGUGGGAGAGGUGAGUGGAAUUCCCGGUGUAGCGGUGAAAUGCGCAGAUAUCGGGAGGAACACCAGUAGCAAAGGCGGCUCGCUGGGCCAUUCCUGACGCUGAGACGCGAAAGCUAGGGGAGCGAACAGG